rnacentral:rRNA from 1 species
ACUCCUACGGGAGGCAGCAGUGGGAAUAUUGCACAAUGGGCGCAAGCCUGAUGCAGCCAUGCCGCGUGUGUGAAGAAGGCCUUCGGGUUGUAAAGCACUUUCAGUCGUGNGGAAGGGUAGUGUAGUUUAAAUAGCUGCAUUUAUUUGACGUUUAGCGACAGAAGAAGCACCGGCUAACUCCGUGCCAGCAGCCGCGGUAAUACGG